AGGAUGAACGCUAGCUACAGGCUUAACACAUGCAAGUCGAGGGGCAGCAUGGUCUUAGCUUGCUAAGACUGAUGGCGACCGGCGCACGGGUGAGUAACACGUAUCCAACCUGCCGUCUACUCUUGGACAGCCUUCUGAAAGGAAGAUUAAUACAAGAUGGCAUCAUGAGUCCACAUGUUCACAUGAUUAAAGGUAUUCCGGUAGACGAUGGGGAUGCGUUCCAUUAGAUAGUAGGCGGGGUAACGGCCCACCUAGUCUUCGAUGGAUAGGGGUUCUGAGAGGAAGGUCCCCCACAUUGGAACUGAGACACGGUCCAAACUCCUACGGGAGGCAGCAGUGAGGAAUAUUGGUCAAUGGGCGAGAGCCUGAACCAGCCAAGUAGCGUGAAGGAUGACUGCCCUAUGGGUUGUAAACUUCUUUUAUAAAGGAAUAAAGUCGGGUAUGCAUACCCGUUUGCAUGUACUUUAUGAAUAAGGAUCGGCUAACUCCGUGCCAGCAGCCGCGGUAAUACGGAGGAUCCGAGCGUUAUCCGGAUUUAUUGGGUUUAAAGGGAGCGUAGAUGGAUGUUUAAGUCAGUUGUGAAAGUUUGCGGCUCAACCGUAAAAUUGCAGUUGAUACUGGAUAUCUUGAGUGCAGUUGAGGCAGGCGGAAUUCGUGGUGUAGCGGUGAAAUGCUUAGAUAUCACGAAGAACUCCGAUUGCGAAGGCAGCCUGCUAAGCUGCAACUGACAUUGAGGCUCGAAAGUGUGGGUAUCAAACAGGAUUAGAUACCCUGGUAGUCCACACGGUAAACGAUGAAUACUCGCUGUUUGCGAUAUACAGCAAGCGGCCAAGCGAAAGCGUUAAGUAUUCCACCUGGGGAGUACGCCGGCAACGGUGAAACUCAAAGGAAUUGACGGGGGCCCGCACAAGCGGAGGAACAUGUGGUUUAAUUCGAUGAUACGCGAGGAACCUUACCCGGGCUUAAAUUGCAGAUGAAUUACGGUGAAAGCCGUAAGCCGCAAGGCAUCUGUGAAGGUGCUGCAUGGUUGUCGUCAGCUCGUGCCGUGAGGUGUCGGCUUAAGUGCCAUAACGAGCGCAACCCUUGUUGUCAGUUACUAACAGGUCCUGCUGAGGACUCUGACAAGACUGCCAUCGUAAGAUGUGAGGAAGGUGGGGAUGACGUCAAAUCAGCACGGCCCUUACGUCCGGGGCUACACACGUGUUACAAUGGGGGGUACAGAGGGCCGCUACCACGCGAGUGGAUGCCAAUCCCCAAAACCUCUCUCAGUUCGGACUGGAGUCUGCAACCCGACUCCACGAAGCUGGAUUCGCUAGUAAUCGCGCAUCAGCCACGGCGCGGUGAAUACGUUCCCGGGCCUUGUACACACCGCCCGUCAAGCCAUGGGAGCCGGGGGUACCUGAAGUGCGUAACCGCGAGGAGCGCCCUAGGGUAAAACU
rnacentral:rRNA from 1 species